GAUGAACGCUGGCGGCGUGCCUAAUACAUGCAAGUCGAGCGAACAGACGAGGAGCUUGCUCCUCUGACGUUAGCGGCGGACGGGUGAGUAACACGUGGAUAACCUACCUAUAAGACUGGGAUAACUUCGGGAAACCGGGGCUAAUACCGGAUAAUAUAUUGAACCGCAUGGUUCAAUAGUGAAAGACGGUUUUGCUGUCACUUAUAGAUGGAUCCGCGCCGCAUUAGCUAGUUGGUAAGGUAACGGCUUACCAAGGCCACGAUGCGUAGCCGACCUGAGAGGGUGAUCGGCCACACUGGAACUGAGACACGGUCCAGACUCCUACGGGAGGCAGCAGUAGGGAAUCUUCCGCAAUGGGCGAAAGCUUGACGGAGCAACGCCGCGUGAGUGAUGAAGGUCUUCGGAUCGUAAAACUCUGUUAUUAGGGAAGAACAAAUGUGUAAGUAACUAUGCACGUCUUGACGGUACCUAAUCAGAAAGCCACGGCUAACUACGUG
rnacentral:rRNA from 1 species